CUGGAAGCAGCCUCCGGGAUCUGCAAGUCUGGAAAGGCCACGUUGUGGACCUUGGCGCAGAGGUUAUGGGGGCGACCCGGAGCGGAUGGUUUCAGGAAAACUAGAACCCACCCUCAUGGCCUGAACAACUGGAGAGAAGAGGAUCGCAGCAAUUUAAAGCCAGCGGCAAGGAUCACAGUCCUGGGGUCAGGGUCUCGCUCGGUCACCCAGGCUGGAGUGUAAUGCUGCGAUCUCGGCUCACUGCAACGUCCGCCUCCCGGGUUCAAGAGAUUCUCCUGCCUCAGCCUCCCGAAUAGCUGGGCGUGCCACCACGCCCGGCUGAUUUUUGUAUUUUUAGUAGAGACGGGGUUUCACCAUGUUGGCCAGGUUGGUCUCGAACUCCUGACCUCAAAUGAUCCGCCCGCCUUGGCCUCCCAGAAUGCUGGGAUUACAGGCGUGAGCCACCGCGCCAGGCCGACAACUGGUAUCUUAAGGCUUAGGGCCUCUGGUAGAAGUGAGCUCCACCUCCCUUCCUGUGUAGAAGGUAAAUGCAUUCAUUCAUUCAGUGAAUCGAGCAUGCAUGAAAUCGUUUGCGCACACCCAGAAGCCCACCUGCGAGCCACAGGAGCAGCCAUUCCAGGAAGCCAAGCUAUAAUGGGAGACGCAAGGAAUGGAGGCGGAACUCCUGUUUUUAAGUCCUAGCUCCAACACUAGCCUUGUCAGCCUGUAAUUCUGAAUUACUGGGCGCCUCUGAGGCUUCUUGUCUCAUCUGCAAAUCAGGAACAACGGCAUAGAGUGGUGAAUGCAUCAAGUGGGAUGAUGUCUGCAAGUACGCAACCCGCUUACACAAAGAAUUAUCUUUCCAUAACCUUCCCUGGACCCCUAGGGCCAGCAGGGAAUCAUAGCCUCCCUUUGUUUCUAGAGCCCGGAAAUCACUGGGUUUUCCCUCUGUCUGGAGCAGAGCUGGGUGCGAAUUUGACCAACGGGUGGCAGGAACAGCCGGAGCAGGAUAUUAAGGAGCGGGCGAGCUUGCCAAGCAUGCGCAGUAGCGGCGGGUUGGUUUGAGAAGCCGCCAGGGAGCCAGCGCGGCGACCUAGCUGGCUGGGGCAGGGGAGGGGCCCGCCUUAUAUGGGAGCUGCGUGGGGACAAACUGUUCGGGCCCAACGCGCGGGUCUGAGAGACAGCCACGCCUGCUCCGGGUCACUCCGGCCACCUGGGGGGCGUCGGCGCGCAGACUCUGGCCAGUUCAGUAUUCAAACUCUUCAGGAGUGCUAACUUACUCAUGACAGCGAUUUUCUGUAUCGGGGUUUCAUUGGUCGGUGGUUUAGAAGGUUUUGCUCAUUCAUUCGUUAAUGUAAUUCCAACAACCUACACGUGUUUAUAAGCCCCCUUUCCAUCCACGACUUUGCUGUCUGACACAAAACGGACCAUCGCAGCCCGGCAGACGCUUUAGACAACAAACAGCAUGCCUGGAGCUUUUCAAUAGGAAGCAGUAAGGCUUGAUCAUCACAGACGAUACGGAACGGGCACUUUCUUAGCAGAAAAUAUUUCUAUUGGGGCGUGAAGGAAGUUUCUGAAAGGGAAGAUUAUUAUAAGAUAAGGGGUUUGCUCAUCUCAGACUUUAGUGUGCCUGCUUUAAAGUGUUUUGCAAACUUGAAUGUUUAAAGGAAUCACCUGGCGGUCUUGUGAAACUGCAGCUUCUAAUGGGCAAGUCAGAGGGGAAGCCUGAGACAUGGCAUUUCCAGCACGUUCGGGGAGUGAAGAUGCUGUCGGCUGCCACCCUCCCUGCAAGGAGCCAGGGGAUAGAUGACCUCUACGCAAACUGUGAGAGCUUAAAAUAACUGAUAGUGAAAAACAGUUACAGAAGCUCUAGGCCGGGCACGGUGGCUAAUGCCUGUAAUCCCAGCACUUUGGGAGGCCGAGGAGGAUGGAUUGCCAGAACUCAGGAGUUUGAGACCAGCCUGGGCAACACGGUAAAACCCUGUCUCUACGACAAAAUAAAACAAACAAAAAUAAAAGCCACGCAUGGUGGCGUGUGCUUGUAGUCCCAGCUACUCAGGAGGCUCAGGUGGGACAAUCGCUUGAGCAUGGAAGGAGGAGGUUGCAGUGAGCCAAGAUCGCACCACUGUACUCCAACCUGAGUGACAGAGUGAGACCCAAUCUCAAAAAAAAAAAAAAGCAGUAAAUCCAGGGCCCAAAAGCUCCCCUCAAUGGGAAGUAGAAUCUCUUUCUCCACCUCUUCAAUAUGGCUGGCCCUGGAACUUCCCUUGGCACACAGAAUGCAGCAGAAUUGGCUUCAUGUUGUUUCUAAGCCUUGGCCUCAGAGGCCUUGCAUGCUUCCUAACCCUGGCUCUAGGAAACUUGCUGCUGUCAUGUAAGCAAGCCCAGGCUAACCUACUGAAUGUUGGUGUGUCCCAGUCAAAUCCAGCACUGCAACCAAUAGCCAGGCAGCCACCAGACAUGUGAGUGGGGCCACCUCACACCAGCCAACCUCCACCAAGUCAUCAGAUGUAUGAGUGAGAACAGCCCAGAACAACUGAGCCCGUCCAGACCAGCGGAACAACCAAGCUGACCAGUAGACUUAGGAGCAGUAAACAGAUGAUUGUUAUGGAAGCCAUUCUGUUUAGGGUGUGUGUGUUAUUGCUUGCAUCCAAAUACAUCCUAUCUCAUCUAAUGAGAAAAGGCCCUGCUCAAGGGCUUUUGCAGCUGUAGUUGGGCGCCGGAAGUGUCUUUGUGGUCAUUUCUUACUCCAUACACGGGGAGAUCAAGGCUCAGACCAGGUAGUGUGACUGUGGACAACACUUUCCUUACCCCUCUGUGACACUUAAAUCAAUGAAGCAGAUUCACAGAAGCAUGCAUGCUCACUGAACACAGUAUUUGCAUUCCUACCUCCAAACCUUUGCUCCACCCAUGCAUCCAGUAAGAAUGCCUACUUCCCUCCUCUCCUCCAUCGAGUUCUUUCUUUGAGUUCUACCUUCCCUAGUCUUCCUCCACUGCACCAACCCACGGUGAUCCCUGUCUCUUCCAAAUGCUUUGUAACAUGGUAGGCAUCACUCACUUGUGACUCAUUGGACCAUUUUAAAACUUGGUUUUCUGUGUCUCUUUUCCAACAAAAUUACAAAUUCUUUGAGGGUAAAAGUCAGGCCUAAUAGUUCUCUGUACUCCUAGUAGUGCCAGUGUGGUAAAAAUUUAACUUGACAAUUAGCAAAACCAAUAAAUUCCUUACACUAUUCUGUUCCUGUAGGUAAUCAGUAUAUGAAUAUGGAUUCCUAUGUGAUGAUUUUCUGGUCUAUUUUGUCCCUUUUUUUUUUUUGUUACUUUAACCAGGCCAUAACAUAAAGGUUAUGCCAUUUGUUACUGUCAAGCUUAAUUAAGCCCAUUAUAAUUCGUUAACCCCUGUGCUUGCUUUGUAAUUAACAUUGAUUAACACAAACAAGUACAAAAUAGGCCAUCAGCACUUUCCAGAAGUGCUGAUUACAAUUACAUUGGUAAUUCAAUACGGUAUAGAAGAUGGCAGGAUAGUAACUUGCACUCUGUUUACAUAAGGAGACAAAUGCUACCAUGCAAAACUAAGCCAAGAAACAAAAUACUUUCCUCAUCCAACUCACUGAUUAAACCCUUACCCUGUUAACUCACCCUAUGACUGUGUAAACCUCCAGUAAGAUUAUUGAAGGCACAGCUCCAAGUAACUUGCUUAAUUGCAUUCCUGGGACAAAAGAGGGAAGCGCUUCAAAGCUGACAGACAGAUGGUAGAGUGUCCAGUCACAGCAAAGCAGGCCCCGAGGCUCAUGACAGACAACUCCAGGGCUGAGAUCUCAUUUGUAGCUCUGGGAUAAAGUCCAGGGUUUGAUGGCAGCAGGCUGAAGUGUAAAGAUGCUCAACAAUGCGCACCCCAGAGACACUGAAUCUGAAAAAGCUUAGAGUGAAUAAAAAUCUGGAAAUGAACUCUGUCUGUCUAUUCACCAUUCCCCCCAUAAAAAAAUUCCUAUAUUCCGGAUGGUGUUCAAGUUCCCUUUCCACAGGACCUCAGCAGUCAGGGAGGUGCUCCUGCAAUCUAUGUGAAGGAGAUUUCACCAUGCCCACAUGGGAAUACAGUAGAUUGCCAGUAGGGAUGCCACACCUUUGCAUUUCCUCGUAUUUCCAGGAACAAAGCUGGGGUGCCUAGGAGCUGCAGCAGUUUUUCUUCUGUGUAAAAUAAGCAAGCAGGACUCUGCCCCACUGCACUCCAGGGAAGGAUUAAGAGAAUUGAUAUCAUCCAAAUCAAUUGGCCCUGUGCAGAUGACUUGAUAAUGAGGCCAUUGAGUUUUUAUGGUUCACUAUUAUUGCUACAAAAAUUAUGCUGCAGAAAUCAUUCAAAUGCUCAAAAAGGAGCAUUAGUACGAAACUGGGUGUUCCAAAGUUGUUGCUGAGAGGUGUGUAAUGUUCCUGAAGAUCCCCAAGGCACUAAGACUUCUCUGUACAUGAAUGACUCAUAGAGAAGAAAUACACCAGAUGAAAAUAUAUGGAGAAGUUUGCCGAAUGUCAUAUAACUU
rnacentral:lncRNA from 10 species